AAAAUGAAGUACAAAUAGUCAAUAAGUACAUGAAAAAAAAUGUUCAAUAUCACUGGCCCUAGAGAAAUGCCACCUAAAACAAUGCUGAGAUUCGACCUCACUCCAGAAAGAAUGACCAUUAUCAUGAAAUCAAAUAACAAAUGCUGGUCAGGCUGCAGGAAAAAAGGAAUCCUUCUGCCCUUUUGGUAGGAAAAUCAACUAAUAUAAUCACUACAGAAAUCAGUGUGGAGAAUCCUCAAAAAACUAAAACCAGAAGUAGCAUUUGACCCUUCUAGGUAUCUUCCUGAAAAAGUCAAUGACAUCAUAUUGCAGUGAUAAAUGCCUAUCCAUGUUUAUAGCAGCACAACUCAUAACAGCUCAGUCUUAAAAGCAAACCUAUAUGCACAUCAAGAGAUGAAUGGAUAAAGAAAUGAAGUACUACUCUGCUAUAUAGAGCUUUCCAUUCCAGAGGGGUCUUUGCCAUUCCACUGGGCAGGUGGAGAGCUCCCUGAGGAGAAGAUGGGACACAGUCCUCCCUGAGGUCUUCAGAAGGGGCUAGAGCCAACUACGAGGCAGCAAGGAAGAGGAUGUGAGGAAAUGAAUUUUCUCCUUGACAUUCCACAAGCACAAAGGACAGAAGUAAUGAUCCCUUCUUCAGAGGCUUUCGGGGGCUGCUGUGGAGCUGGGAAAGGUAGCUCUGAAUCACCAGGCACAGCUUUCUCAGUUCUGAGGAGCUCUCGCCAUUCCCUGGAGAGGGAGGAUGGAGAGAUGCAUCAUCCCCUUUCUAGGGGAGGAGAAGCCUUAGAGAAAUAGGUCGGCAGGACAGGGCACACCCUGGACCAGCUGUGCCAACUGUCUUGCCC
rnacentral:lncRNA from 1 species